rnacentral:misc_RNA from 1 species
GAUGAAGAACGCAGCGAAAUGCGAUAAGUAAUGCGAAUUGCAGAAUUCCGUGAGUCAUCGAAUCUUUGAACGCACAUUGCGCCCUCUGGUAUUCCGGAGGGCAUGCCUGUCUGAGCGUCAUUGUCAACCCUCAAGCUCAGCUUGCUGUUGGGUCCCCGUCGUUGCUUUAACGGCGGACCCGAAAGGUAAUGGCAGAGUCCGUGAGACCCUAGACGCAGCGAGCUUCUAGCACGCGUCUGGACGUUUUUCGGGCUCGGUCUUAACUAGAUGAUAACUUCCGAUUGACCUCAGAUCAGGUAGGGAUACCCGCUGAACUUAAGCAUAUCAAUGCGGAGGA